GACCACAUAACGCAGUGGAUUAGUGCGUUUGACUUCGGAUCAAAAGGUCGUGGGUUCGACUCCCAAGUGGUUG
rfam:Macleaya cordata isolate BLH2017 scaffold9083, whole genome shotgun sequence.